rnacentral:rRNA from 1 species
CAGCAGCCGCGGGAAUACGGAGGAUCCAAGCGUUAUCCGGAAUCAUUGGGUUUAAAGGGUCCGUAGGCGGUCUUGUAAGUCAGUGGUGAAAGCCCAUCGCUCAACGGUGGAACGGCCAUUGAUACUGCAGGACUUGAAUUAUUGGGAAGUAACUAGAAUAUGUAGUGUAGCGGUGAAAUGCUUAGAGAUUACAUGGAAUACCAAUUGCGAAGGCAGGUUACUACCAAUUGAUUGACGCUGAUGGACGAAAGCGUGGGUAGCGAACAGGAUUAGAUACCCCAGUAGUCCCUGUAUCUUAUAC